rnacentral:lncRNA from 1 species
UAGAGUGAUGUGGUGUGAAAAUAAAAAUUUUAACUAAUAAUAUUUUGAAUGUUUUUGGUGCGAGAUAGUUAGAUUGUACAAUUGUAUGUAAGAACUAAUUUGAUCCUGUAGCCGUUGUUGAAGAAGCAAAGCCAGCACCUUAUGCUUCACGCAUAUCUGUAGUUUCAGGCGCUGUGCUACACUCGGGAGUUAAAACAUCGAAGGGCGAUUUGCGGGUAGAACAGAAAGAGCAAGUAAUAAUUCUUCUAAAAUUUUAAUUCACCAUUGAAGAACUAAUUCUAAACAUGUACAGUGGAGGCGUUAAGACGGUGGGUCUUGACUGGUCUAAAAUUAUAUUAUUAUUAUAUUCAUUUAGUAGAAAAAUGCAUUAAUUUUAACUAAUUAUUAAUUAAUUAAUUAAAUUUUUAAAUUCACACCAAUGAUGAAGGCCGAUAAUCAUUUAGCUCGAUUCUCAUUGCAAGGCCUCGUGGUUAAAGGCCUCAUUUUAUCUGAUCAGUCCAUAGAAGAUUCCGUUUUACUGGCCAAUUAUCUGUUGGAUGAUAUGAAGAAAGGAAGAGAAUCCAAACUGUAUAGGCUGAUUGAGAGGAAAGCGAUUUUUCAACUGUUUCUUAAACUGUCAAGAUUUCAGUAGAGCAAACGUUGAAAAAUGAUAAUAUGGUGGAAACAGUUUGCCUAAUACUGAGGAAACGAAAUACAAAGAAUCCCGAACAGUUUAGAAAAACAGAUUUGGGAGAGUUAAAGUGUUCGCAAAUGAUUGCAUGGAGUUCGCUGAUUGUUGGCGCAGAAGCCCUCACGAAGCUGAAAAACGGUUUGCUUCCAUUCAGCCGCCAGACGAAGAAGAGCCUCCAUCACCUCCCAAUUCCAACGAACGGGCUAAACAGGUAUAUACCUGCAGAAGUUCAACAGGGUCUAAGAAUGUGCCGAAGAAGCCAGAAUAACCACCGCCAAUAGUAACAGCCGACAAAACAAGCACGCACACUAGACUGAUGAAGGAGGACAUUUUUUUCAUACGGAAUAAAGAAUACUCCAAUAACACUAAACAGGCAUUUAACUUCAACUUCUAACGUUGUCAUGCGAACGACUAAUUCCGCAAAUAUCCAUGUUAGGGCGGCACCCAAGACCAAUGAGCAAACAUUUGGACCAUGAGAAGAGGGACAUCAAGACCGCACACUUGGCUGGGCAUGGGGGAACUUACGGACUUUUUCUGUGUAAUUAGUGUAUUGUUAAUUUUCCCAAGCUUGUCAGAUAUUGUAAAUGUUGAAAUAAAUUUUAUCUCGUAUCG